rnacentral:rRNA from 1 species
AAGUCUGAUGGAGCAACGCCGCGUGAGUGAAGAAGGUUUUCGGAUCGUAAAGCUCUGUUGUUGGUGAAGAAGGAUAGAGGUAGUAACUGGCCUUUAUUUGACGGUAAUCAACCAGAAAGUCACGGCUAACUACGUGCCAGCAGCCGCGGUAAUACGUAGGUGGCAAGCGUUGUCCGGAUUUAUUGGGCGUAAAGCGAGCGCAGGCGGAAAAAUAAGUCUAAUGUGAAAGCCCUCGGCUUAACCGAGGAAUUGCAUCGGAAACUGUUUUUCUUGAGUGCAGAAGAGGAGAGUGGAACUCCAUGUGUAGCGGUGGAAUGCGUAGAUAUAUGGAAGAACACCAGUGGCGAAGGCGGCUCUCUGGUCUGCAACUGACGCUGAGGCUCGAAAGCAUGGGUAGCGAACAGGAUUAGAUACCCUGGUAGUCCAUGCCGUAAACGAUGAGUGCUAAGUGUUGGGAGGUUUCCGCCUCUCAGUGCUGCAGCUAACGCAUUAAGCACUCCGCCUGGGGAGUACGACCGCAAGGUUGAAACUCAAAGGAAUUGACGGGGGCCCGCACAAGCGGUGGAGCAUGUGGUUUAAUUCGAAGCAACGCGAAGAACCUUACCAGGUCUUGACAUCUAG